UACGGAGGAUCCGAGCGUUAUCCGGAUUUAUUGGGUUUAAAGGGUGCGCAGGCGGGAGAUUAAGUCGGCGGUGAAAUUUUGCAGCUUAACUGUAAAAUUGCCGUUGAAACUGCCGGUCUUGAGUGCAAAUGAGGUAGGCGGAAUGCGUCGUGUAGCGGUGAAAUGCUUAGAGAUCACACAGAAUAUCGAUUGCGAAGGCAGCUCACAAGGCCAAGAUUGACGCUGAGGCACGAAAGUGUGGGGAUCAAACAGGAUUAGAUA
rnacentral:rRNA from 1 species